rnacentral:rRNA from 1 species
AUUGAACGCUGGCGGCAGGCCUAACACAUGCAAGUCGAGCGAGCGGCGGACGGGUGAGUAAUGUCUGGGAAACUGCCUGAUGGAGGGGGAUAACUACUGGAAACGGUAGCUAAUACCGCAUACCAUCAGAUGUGCCCAGAUGGGAUUAGCUAGUAGGUGGGUUAACGGCUCACCUAGGCGACGCUCCCUAGCUGGUCUGAGAGGAUGACCAGCGACACUGGAACGGAGACACGGUCCAGACUCCGACGGGAGGCAGCAGUGGGGAAUAUUGCACAAUGGGGGCAAGCCUGAUACAGCCAUGCCGCGUGUGUGAAGAAGGCCUUCGGGUUGUAAAGCACGUUCAGCGGGGAGGCGUUACCCGCAGAAGAAGCACCGGCUAACUCCGUGCCAGCCGCCGCGGUAAUAC